UACGGAGGGGGCUAGCGUUGUUCGGAAUUACUGGGCGUAAAGCGCACGUAGGCGGCUUUGUAAGUUAGAGGUGAAAGCCCGGGGCUCAACUCCGGAAUUGCCUUUAAGACUGCAUCGCUAGAAUUGUGGAGAGGUAAGUGGAAUUCUGAGUGUAGAGGUGAAAUUCGUAGAUAUUCGGAAGAACACCAGUGGCGAAGGCGACUUACUGGACACAUAUUGACGCUGAGGUGCGAAAGCGUGGGGAGCAAACAGG
rnacentral:rRNA from 1 species